UAUGUUUUUACCAGGCAUCCACACAACACCC
rnacentral:piRNA from 1 species